GGCCGAGUGGCAAAAUGGUUACUGCGUUGCUUUCCGACUACACCGGCUUGCACCGAUAGUGAGGCAGAGACUGUGGGUUCGAGUCCCACCUUGCUCG